rnacentral:tRNA from 4 species
GCCGAUGUGGCUCAGUUGGUAGAGCAACGCACUCGUAAUGCGUAGGUCACCGGUUCGAGUCCGGUCAUCGGCUCCA